rnacentral:lncRNA from 1 species
CAGCAAUGCACCAUCAUGCCAGUUUUCCUCCAUAGUUAUCAUUCUCCAAUAUCUUCAGUCUUUAUUUUUCUCAUUUAUAUGUCUCCCCAAAUUAAAGUCCCUGAAAGCUGGAAUCUUAGUCUUUGUUCACUACUAUUGUGUAUCCCUAGAUCUGGAAUAGUGCCUGGCAUUCAAUGAUUUUUUUUUAAAUGUAUUAAUAAACCUCCAAAAAAGAUUGCUCCCUCUCUUUCCUUCUCUCUCUUUUCUUCCUCAUAAUAAAAUACCUAGAGGCAAAAAAAAGGAUUGCUGACAUCCCUGGGGUACAGCAAAGAGCACAGGAGGGCAGUUUACAGGAAAGCUGGGAAUAAGAAGCCCCCCGGAGCUCAGGCCAGUCUCCUCCCAGUAUCAGGACCCUUUCUGGUACUUCUCCUCUGGGAUUAAGGCAGAAGCCCUCCUCUUAUUACCGUUACUAUUGCUCCCACAUCCUGAGUACCGUCCCUGGUGUUUUCCAUAUGUGUCACCUAUAAAUAAAUCCAGA